AUGAGCCAAGAAUCCAUUGCCUCUGGGGAGGUGAACAAUUCUAACAUUAAGAAGUUCCUGGCUCAGGAAACCAGUUCUCACUGCAACCAGCCUGUUGCAGUCAACAACCUCAGGAUCUCGUCCAGGGAAGCAGCAGGAUUCUGGGGACCAGCAUGGAACACCAACAAGACGGGCUCCCAGUUCAUGAAACCAUUUAUUCAGCAUGGGAACAAAGUCAGGUAGGGCCAGAACAGAGAGCUCCGAACAGAGGCACAGCAGGGGUUUUUGAGGGACAGAACUCUUAAAGGUUUCCACCUUUGAGGGUGGAGUUCAGGGUCAGAGACCAGUAGAAGCACACUAAGGGAGAACCCCCCAGGGACUCAAACCCAAUCAGAGCACCUGGGCCGCCCUUCACAAGGGGUUUGGGGUGGGACAAUGUAACUCUUUGUCUCCCCUGAGACCGCUGCCACAUCAGCCAAUAACUAAAACAAUCAAGUGACAUGUUCAAUCCCUAAAAUUGAAGGGAGCACAUAGGAUUAUCAGGAUAAUCUUUCUGGAUUUUCCCAAAUCCCAAUUAGAAGAAAAGAUCUGGCACAUUAAGUAGGUAUUGUGCCUUACUUACUAAAUUACUUAAAUUCCUCUUAGAAUAGAGUUUGCAAUUUUUUUUUUUAAUUACAAUUGUUUUAUUUUGUCAGUAUUCUGACACUAAAAACAACUUUUUCUAAAAGAUCUGUCUCAGAUGAUAGCCUACAUUUAUCUGACUUGUAUAUGAAUGCUAUCCAUUAAAAAAUAGAUUUCUGUACAAAUCAAGAAUAUUUUUUUCAAUUAUUAUGAAGCUGCUCUUUUCUUUAAUCUCAGCAGUACUCAAUUUGAUUUUGUUUGUACUCUGAGAAUUACCUCAAAUUCACAUUCUCAUUUCUUUCUGUUGUAUUUGCAGCCCUGAAUACGUGUCCUGUAUUGUGCAAUUCUCUACUGACUGUAUCAACAGUAAACGGUGAGUAAAGGGAAUGUAUUAAGCAACAUACUUCAAAACCGCGGUUUUAAUUAGCUGGGGACAGGAUUUAACAAGUCACAACAUUUAUUUAAACAGUCUCAACAUCGCUCAAGACAGCAACAGCAAAUUUAACACUUAAGGCCGUAUUAACAAACAGAUGGUUUCAGAUUUUCUCUUUAGAGUGAUACUGUUACUUAGACGAUGCAGAGUAGUUGGAAACAUUUUGAAAUAACUUCUAGCUGCAAGUUGCAGAAUUUAGCUGUGACUUAUGUCCACUAUAUUUUAUUAAUGCAAAUGCUUUGGUUUGUUUUAUAGAUCACUAUGACACAUCACUGAUUAUAUGGUGUUCAGAUUUUUUGCUGCAGGCCUGAUUUGUCUUUAUGUAGCAGUUUAUGCUGCCUAUAACAACUGCAUUAUAAUAUUCUUUUUUUUUUUUCCUCCACUCAGUGAAAAUAUCUAAAAUGUGAACCUUUUUGCCUUUGAUAAUGGGAUUUCUUUUCUUACUUUAAACCUGUGGGCCAAGUACAUUUUUAGCAGCAUGUGUAGCUGAAUAAACAUGCAGCUCCUAUUAGUGUUAAUUUAAGC
ensembl:lncRNA